rnacentral:tRNA from 1 species
GGGGGCGUAGCUCAGAUGGAAGAGCGCCUGCCUUGCACGCAGGAGGUUGGCGGUUCGAGUCCGCUCGCCUCCA